rnacentral:tRNA from 1 species
GGUGGCUCAGUGCUAGAGCACUUGCCUUGCAUGCAUGAGGCCUUGGGUUCAAUUCCCCAGCACCA